UUUUCUUUUGUGUUCACAGGAAUCCUGAGUGAACUGCAUAUGGACAGCUGGAGGAUGACGAAUCAACAGUUUGGAUUAAUAAUGCUAUGCUUUACCCUGACCUUGAUGCAAUUACAGGCCUUAAAGGAAACUUAGCUACUGUGGUUGUGCACGGAGCUGAGGUGUUUCACCGUGACAUCUAACCAUGCGUUGUCACAGUAUAGCGCAAUCACUGGAACAUCUCAAAACAAAAAGGACCUAAAUCUCUCUACUUUGGUUUUACAUGGGAGUAAAAUAUUUUCAAAAGAUGAAUGGAGUUGGAACGAUUCUCUAAGAAUGGCUGAACUUCAAGCCACGUCUUGCCAGACAAUACAAAUCAGUUGCCGAAUAACUAAUGGAUCUACUUACAAUAGGCCAACUGAAAUUAAGCACAAUUUUACUUUCACCAAACCUAUAAUUGUGUACUGUCUUUGGGGUUACGGAGGCACAGAAUUAAGAAGCCUCUGCCCCCGCAGAUAUUUGGAAAUGUACCAACUUGGCCUCCCAUUGGUCUAACUCCUUCCAUCUUCAACCCUGGUCCUUACAUAAUUAAAAAUGUGGGACAACAACAAGUUCUCUUUAACCCUAGCCGGUCUCUAAAAGGGUAGAUGCAACUGGGUUAUUGGGAACAGGAUUAGGUAUAUUAAAUAACUGCUACUAGAGAUGACCUAAGGAAAUUGGAACGACCAAUAAAAUCAUCCUUAUUGGCCUUAGGAGCAAGUCAAUGGCUUCUAUCAGACAUUUUCAUCAAUUAAUUGUAAAUGCCCUUGGAAAAACUCAGGGCAAUACCUCCCUAAGGUUAAUCGGCUACACCCCUUACCGCAAUACAAGGAAACUACAAUAAAAACUGUGGCAAUGCCAUGGUGAUUAACAAUAAUGAUACAAUUAACUCUUGCAGUAACUGCACAUUAUGCCCAACUGUGCAGGUACUCAAGUCCCUAGAUGUCCUAUUACCAAAUAAACAGUGUUCUUAUCAAUGGCAAGGACAACCAACAUUAUCAGCUUUAAGGAGCAGUUAAAAGCUUCAGCAAGAGAAGUGACUGAAGUGGGAUCUCUACUGGGAGGAGAGAGUUUCAGCACUGAAACAUUGCUCUGGAAAGGCCUGUCUUCCCAAACUGUAAGUGGGGAGAUAAGCACUGCAAUUGCUGUUUGUUCGCUCGGCGUACAGCAAGGGCUCAGAAACUGUCACAUUUCCAUGCGAAAGAUGGCUUGCGAAGUCUGAAGAUGAUGGCUAGAUUGUCAGAGAACUGGUACCAUCUGAUAUUUUUACUGAGAAGCUUAUGAAGGACGGGACACUCAAACAGAUAGAAGAGGCUGAAGACCCAUUAGAAGGCAAUACAAUGGGUAGGAGUAGGAAGGGACCUAUUUAUCUGAUUUUUGGGGGAAAAACUGUUUGGAUGUGUAGUUCAAGCAAACGUACUACUGGUUCUACCUGUCCAUAUUUCUUUCUCUUCCCAUUCUGUGGCCCGAAGCACUUUACACCUGAAGCACUUCUAUGCAAUAACACUGUUGUUUUCCUGUAGGGUAUUUACAAACCUACUGCAGCCACCCUUCCACACAGGCAUGGUUUGCACAUCUCUUUUGAUGCACAGCAAAUUCCCAACAUCUUGACCUUGUCUUCUAGGCUCUGCAAACAUCUUUGCAUGUUUGCCCAAAUUCACCUGUCCUGUGCACUCCAUCCCUUCUUAUCCUACCCUGUCAGUCUGAUUCAUUCUCCUAUUUCCUCCCAAAGCUAUUUUUACUGAUGCUCUCCAGGUACAUAUGGACACCCUCUAAAAAUUUGGCCCUAGGCAAGCACCCUCACCUCAUUCAAAUGCUCCUGGGGAGCAGAAUAAGUUAUUAUCCAUCUCUGUCUAUUAUUCCAUCUUAUAAAGUGUUCAGAUUCAGUGUUUGACCCUCAUUGUACAUCAAGCAACUGAAAUUGUUGUUUGUUUUUUUUUUCAUAGUUCCAAAAUCUUGUGCUGUUAUCUUUGCCGUAGUGGAGUAAGAGGCAGAAAAUGACUCUGACUAGCUUUUUGGAGGAGUCUCUUCUGUCACAUGGUCAUAAGUUUCCAACUUGGAGACAUUUUACCUUGUUCUCUGGGACAGGUCAUUAGCUGGAAAAAUUCAUAUAGUGCAUCAGCAGGGCAUUGAGAGUUCACCCAUAAAGAACUGGACCACACACUAUUAAAAGCACAGUCCUUGGUCUGGGGAGCAAAGCAGUACUUUGCAUGGCUCUAUCA
ensembl:lncRNA